rnacentral:rRNA from 1 species
UAGUCUCGCACAGAUGCAUAUCAAUAAGCGGAGGAAAAGAAACUAACAAGGAUUCCCCUAGUAACGGCGAGUGAAGCGGGAAGAGCUCAAAUUUGAAAUCUUAAAGGGUUUCCCUUUACGAAUUGUAGUUUAAAGAAGUGUUUUCUGUUGAGGUUUUGGUAAAAGUUCUUUGGAAUAGGACAUCAUAGAGGGUGAGAAUCCCGUAUUUGACCUUUACUUUCAACUUUGUGAUACACUUUCAAAGAGUCGGAUUGUUUGGGAAUGCAGUCCAAAAUGGGUGGUAAAUUUCAUCUAAAGCUAAAUAUUGGCGAGAGACCGAUAGCGAACAAGUACCGUGAGGGAAAGAUGAAAAGAACUUUGAAAAGAGAGUUAAACAGUACGUGAAAUUGUCAAAAGGGAAGCGUUUGACACCAGUGUUGUUUUUCUGAAAAUCAAUUAAAGAACUGUUUAUGCUAAGCUGUUUAGGACUUUAUCAGCUAUCUGUUUAGUUUUGAGCUUUUCUUUAAUGCACUUUUCAGUUAACAUGUCAACAUCAAUUUCUUUUGCUGUAAAAAAGCUUGAGGAAGGUGGCUUGAGAUUCGUCUUAAGUGUUUAUAGCCUCUUGCCUAUGCAGUCGGAGAGAUUGAGGUCUGCAGCGUAGAUCCUUCGGGGCUAAAUGCAUUUGUGCUAAGUUAUAGCAUUUCAUAGACAACUUGUUGACUAUGAUUUGUCUUGUAGCUUACUCGCUUAUGUUAUUUUACCUACGCUUAGGAUGUUGACGCAUGAGAUAUACGC